rnacentral:rRNA from 1 species
AUUGAACGCUGGCGGCAGGCCUAACACAUGCAAGUCGAACGAGUGGCGGACGGGUGAGUAAUGUCUGGGAAACUGCCCGAUGGAGGGGGAUAACUACUGGAAACGGUAGCUAAUACCGCAUACCAUCGGAUGUGCCCAGAUGGGAUUAGCUAGUAGGUGGGGUAAAGGCUCACCUAGGCGACGAUCCCUAGCUGGUCUGGGAGGAUGACCCGCCACACUGGAACUGAGACACGGUCCAGGCGCCUACGGGGAGCAGCAAGGGGGAAUAUUGCACAAUUGGCGCCAGCCUGAUGGAGCCAUGCCGCGGGUAUGAAGAAGGGCUUCGGGUUGGAAAGCUCGUUCAUCGGGACGACGUUACCGGAAUAGGAAGCCACGGCUAACUACGUGCCAGCCGCCGCGGUAAUAC